rnacentral:rRNA from 1 species
CCAGACUCCUACGGGAGGCAGCAGUGGGGAAUAUUGCACAAUGGGGGGAGCCCUGAUGCAGCGACGCCGCGUGAGUGAAGAAGUAUUUCGGUAUGUAAAGCUCUAUCAGCAGGGAAGAAAAUGACGGUACCUGACUAAGAAGCCCCGGCUAACUACGUGCCAGCAGCCGCGGUAAUACGUAGGGGGCAAGCGUUAUCCGGAUUUACGGGGUGUAAAGGGAGCGUAGACGGAUCGUUAAGUCAGUGGUCAAAUUGGGGGGCCCCACCCAUACCCGCCAUUGAAACUGGCGUUCUUGAGUGGAAGAGAAGUAUGCGGAAUGCGUGGUGUAGCGGUGAAAUGCAUAGAUAUCACGCAGAACCCCGAUUGCGAAGGCAGCAUGCCGGCUUCCGACUGACGCUGAAGCACGAAAGCGUGGGGAUCGAACAGGAUUAGAUACCCGUGUA